GACGAACGCUGGCGGCGUGCCUAAUACAUGCAAGUAGAACGCUGAAGAGAGGAGCUUGCUCUUCUUGGAUGAGUUGCGAACGGGUGAGUAACGCGUAGGUAACCUGCCUUGUAGCGGGGGAUAACUAUUGGAAACGAUAGCUAAUACCGCAUAACAAUGGAUGACACAUGUCAUUUAUUUGAAAGGGGCAAUUGCUCCACUACAAGAUGGACCUGCGUUGUAUUAGCUAGUAGGUGAGGUAAUGGCUCACCUAGGCGACGAUACAUAGCCGACCUGAGAGGGUGGUCGGCCACACUGGGACUGGGACACGGCCCAGACUCCUACGGGAGGCAGCAGUAGGGAAUCUUCGGCAAUGGGGGCAACCCUGACCGGGCAACGCCGCGUGAGUGAAGAAGGGUUUCGGGUCGUAAAGCUCUGUUGUAAGUCAAGAACGGGUGUGGGAGUGGAAAGUUCACGCUGUGACGGUAGCUUACCAGAAAGGGACGGCUAACUACGUG
rnacentral:rRNA from 1 species